CGCCACGCAAGGACGAGCACCAGCCCCUUGCUAGAAAAAUCGUCAUUUUUAUACCGACUCGCCCGGCGAAAAGUCCUCUUUGCAAAAAUAGAUAAAAAACAAAAAUUUUAAAUUUCGUGUUUCAAGUGACGUUUUAAAGUUCGAACUUAAUUUUGCUUAAAUUGUACUUAAAUUUAAAUUAGUGAAUCGUAUGCAACAAUCUAGCUUAAAGUGAUUUUUAAAUUAUAGGAGUUAAAAUUUUAGGUGACUUCGACCAAAAAACCAUGUCCUAAACCAGAAGCUGUGCAAAUUUGUAAAGAUGGCCUCGUUGACUAUAAGAUAUUUCUUGCCGUAUUUGCUGCUUCCAUUAGUAAUAAGAGGAAAUGAAACAAUCCUAAAUGGUGAGUCGGUAGAAGAUACCCGCCAGCCUCGAGCCAGUGGAAGAAUAGUCAAAUUGUACUCAGGGGCUAGACGAGAACCAAUCAUAUGCUCCAGUGAUGGUUUUAAGGCUGAUCCACACGACUGCACUGUGUUUUACAGGUGUAUGAAAUCAGGAAGUGGAAAGUAUACUAUU